rnacentral:tRNA from 1 species
GCACCCGUAGCUCAGAGGAUAGAGCAUCGGUCUUCGGAACCGAGGGUCGUGGGUUCGAAUCCCUCCGGGUGCGCCA